rnacentral:rRNA from 1 species
CAGUCGAACGAAGCACUUUGGACAGAUUCUUCGGAUGAAGUCCUUAGUGACUGAGCGUUGGACGGGUGAGUAACGCGUGGGUAACCUGCCUCAUACAGGGGGAUAACAGUUAGAAAUGGCUGCUAAUACCGCAUAAGCGCACGGUACUGCAUGGUACAGUGUGAAAAACUCCGGUGGUAUGAGAUGGACCCGCGUUGGAUUAGCUAGUUGGCAGGGUAACGGCCUACCAAGGCGACGAUCCAUAGCCGGCCUGAGAGGGUGGACGGUCACAUUGGGACUGAGACACGGCCCAGACUCCUACGGGAGGCAGCAGUGGGGAAUAUUGCACAAUGGGGGAAACCCUGAUGCAGCGACGCCGCGUGAGCGAAGAAGUAUUUCGGUAUGUAAAGCUCUAUCAGCAGGGAAGAAAAUGACGGUACCUGACUAAGAAGCCCCGGCUAACUACGUGCCAGCAGCCGCGGUAAUACGUAGGGGGCAAGCGUUAUCCGGAUUUACUGGGUGUAAAGGGAGCGUAGACGGAAUGGCAAGUCUGAUGUGAAAGGCCGGGGCUCAACCCUGGGACUGCAUUGGAAACUGUCAAUCUAGAGUACCGGAGGGGUAAGUGGAAUUCCUAGUGUAGCGGUGAAAUGCGUAGAUAUUAGGAGGAACACCAGUGGCGAAG